rnacentral:tRNA from 1 species
GCCUCCGUAGCUCAGUGGAUGAGAGCAGCGGGUUUCUACCCCGUCGGUCGCAGGUUCGAGUCCUGCCGGGGGCGCCA